rnacentral:rRNA from 1 species
UAGGGAAUCUUCGGCAAUGGACGGAAGUCUGACCGAGCAACGCCGCGUGAGUGAAGAAGGUUUUCGGAUCGUAAAGCUCUUUUGUUAGAGAAGAACGUUGGUAGGAGUGGAAAAUCUACCAAGUGACGGUAACUAACCAGAAAGGGACGGCUAACUACGUGCCAGCAGCCGCGGUAAUACGUAGGUCCCGAGCGUUGUCCGGAUUUAUUGGGCGUAAAGCGAGCGCAGGCGGUUCUUUAAGUCUGAAGUUAAAGGCAGUGGCUUAACCAUUGUACGCUUUGGAAACUGGAGGACUUGAGUGCAGAAGGGGGGAGUGGAAUUCCAUGUGUAGCGGUGAAAUGCGUAGAUAUAUGGAGGAACACCGGUGGCGAAAGCGGCUCUCUGGGCUGUAACUGACGCUGAGGCUCGAAAGCGUGGGGAGCAAACAGG